rnacentral:lncRNA from 1 species
GACACUUCAUUAUUUUUAGUGGCAGCAUGGUUCUGAUGAGCACACCGUCGAACUUCCCAUUUGAGUGGGACCAAGAAGAGCAUACAAAGCUGAAAUGUUCUCCAGAAGUUGAUUUCCAAUGGGGAUAAAUUCUGGAUCAGCACAGAAAACUCUCUCCUUUGUCAGAUUGAAAACCUGUAGCAGGGGGACAGCCAAGAUGGCCGAAUAGGAACAGCUCUGGUCUACAGCUUCCAUCAAGCUACCAAUGACUUUCUUCACAGAAUUGGAAAAAACUACUUUAAAGUUCAUAUGGCACCAAAAAAGAUCCCGCAUUGCCAAGUCAAUCCUAAGCCAAAAGAACAAAGCUGGAGGCAUCACACUACCUGACUUCAAACUAUACUACAAGGCUACAGUAACCAAAACAGCAUGGUACUGCUACCAAAACAGAGAUAUAGAUCAAUGGAACAGAACAGAGCCCUCAGAAAUAAUGCCACAUAUCUACAACUAUCUGAUCUUUGACAAAUCUGAGAAAAACAAGCAAUGGGGAAAGGAUUCCCUAUUUAAUAAAUGGUCCUGGGAAAACUGGCUAGCCAUAUGUAGAAAGCUGAAACUGGAUCCCUUCCUUACACCUUAUACAAAAAUUAAUU